rnacentral:lncRNA from 1 species
CCUCUAUAUCUAUCUCUGAGGUGUUUGGGUUUUGCAAAACUCCAUAAACAUGCAGAAGAGAAAUGCUAUCCCUACUCCGACCAAGACAAAACUUUUACCAAAAGUUUAUUGUGAUCUUUUUGUUCAAAUAACAAUUACGGUGAAGCAGGGUUGGGAACAAUGAAUCUAUUUAUGAUAAACAGAUCCAUUUUGCAAGCUCGUUAUUACGGGUAGUUCCUACAAAGAAUCGGACUAAUGACGUAUACAAUGCUUCAAUUACAAUAUAGAUGCCACAUAGUGGGUUCUCAUCCUUCAGAGACUACGUGUAAUAGGAGCAUCCGUUGACAAAAGGAUCACCCUAAGAUGAACAUCUCAUGGCUAUUGGGA